AGCGAACGCUGGCGGCAGGCUUAACACAUGCAAGUCGAGCGGGCGUAGCAAUACGUCAGCGGCAGACGGGUGAGUAACGCGUGGGAACGUACCUUUUGGUUCGGAACAACCCAGGGAAACUUGGGCUAAUACCGGAUAAGCCCUUACGGGGAAAGAUUUAUCGCCGAAAGAUCGGCCCGCGUCUGACUAGCUAGUUGGUGGGGUAAUGGCCCACCAAGGCGACGAUCAGUAGCUGGUCUGAGAGGAUGAUCAGCCACAUUGGGACUGAGACACGGCCCAAACUCCUACGGGAGGCAGCAGUGGGGAAUAUUGGACAAUGGGCGCAAGCCUGAUCCAGCCAUGCCGCGUGAGUGAUGAAGGCCCUAGGGUUGUAAAGCUCUUUUGUGCGGGAAGAUAAUGACGGUACCGC
rnacentral:rRNA from 1 species